AGAGUUUGAUCCUGGCUCAGAACGAACGCUGGCGGCAUGCCUAACACAUGCAAGUCGAACGAGUUUUCCGCUUCGGCGGGAGGCUAGUGGCGCACGGGUGAGUAACGCGUGGGAACCUGCCCUGUGGUACGGAAUAACUCCGGGAAACUGGAGCUAAUACCGUAUGCGUCCUUUGGGACAAAGAUUUAUCGCCAUGGGAUGGGCCCGCGUAGGAUUAGCUUGUUGGCGGGGUAACGGCCCACCAAGGCUUCGAUCCUUAGCUGGUCUGAGAGGAUGAUCAGCCACACUGGGACUGAGACACGGCCCAGACUCCUACGGGAGGCAGCAGUGGGGAAUAUUGGACAAUGGGCGCAAGCCUGAUCCAGCAAUGCCGCGUGAGUGAUGAAGGCCUUCGGGUUGUAAAGCUCUUUCGCACGCGACGAUGAUGACGGUAGCGUGAGAAGAAGCCCCGGCUAACUUCGUGCCAGCAGCCGCGGUAAUACGAAGGGGGCUAGCGUUGUUCGGAAUUACUGGGCGUAAAGGGCGCGUAGGCGGUGUGUCAAGUCAGGCGUGAAAGCCCCGGGCUCAACCUGGGAACCGCGCUUGAGACUGGCACGCUAGAGUUCGGGAGAGGAUGGUGGAAUUCCCAGUGUAGAGGUGAAAUUCGUAGAUAUUGGGAAGAACACCGAUGGCGAAGGCAGCCAUCUGGACCGACACUGACGCUGAGGCGCGAAAGCGUGGGGAGCAAACAGGAUUAGAUACCCUAGUAGUCC
rnacentral:rRNA from 1 species